UACGAAGGUGGCAAGCGUUAUUCGAAAUCACUGGGCUUAAAGGGCGGGUAGGCGGGAACGAGAGUGUCUUGUGAAAUCCCUCGACUUAACCGAGGAAUUGCUCGGCAAACUACGUUUCUUGAGGCAAGCAGGGGUGUGUGGAACUCUUAGUGGAGCGGUGGAAUGCGUAGAUAUUAAGAGGAACGCCGAAGGUGAAAACAGCACACUGGGCUUGUACUGACGCUGAGGCGCGAAAGCCUGGGGAGUAAACAGG
rnacentral:rRNA from 1 species